GCCGAUAUCUUGCGCGGUCCGAAAGCUUCAGCCACGUGGGAGCAAGGUAUAUAGGUUGGACGCGUUGCAGACUAGACGGACAGUUGGUUUCCAGGAAGGAGCAGUCCAGGUCUCUCGUCCCCGCUUGCGCUCCUCGGGGUUGUCCCGCCAGCGCCUGCAAGGGGUUCCCAGGCAACUGGUUCCAACAAGGCUGCGAGAAGCAGAGGAGCUGAUCCCGCUCCCCGCGGAAGAGAGCUAAGUGACCAAAGCGCGGGGACCUGCGCGGAGCUCCUAAGACUCACCCGGGUCUCCCUACUUCUCCCUUCGAUGCUGUACAACUACCCCAUCCUGUUCCCGUGGCUUGAACAUCCUGCUGACAAGAUUCUCCAACUCCAGCUCCGCGGGGGGCAAAGCAAGUGGGACGCGCCUCACAGUCCUGUGGUGGUGCCCCACUUAUGUUCCUAGCCAGGUCACAGUGUGUCUUGGCCCUGCUCUGGCCAGUUUGCUCAGGGACUUUUCCUCCUCAUUCCGUGAGCUCUGACCUUAGGGUCCAAAGUACCAAUAUUUUCCAUUCCGUCCUGAUUCUCCUCUACCACCUUUCUCAGGUACCAUGGUCACAAGUGCAUGUUUGUAGUGUGUGCCUCUUCCCACCCCACCUCAGCGCUCUAGCUUGGUUCCCGGAGGCUCGCCUGAACAUAUUUUUACAGAGAUCCGAGCUGUCUGAUUCCUUCCAGUCAGUCUGCUUCAGAAACCGAUUUCCCUUGGGGGGGGGAGGGGAGCUAUAAUAUAAUAUAGCCUGUGUGGUCAAUAUCCUGCUUCAGGGCCCGAAGGACAAGAAGCUGGAUCUCCUGCCCAGAUAUGUGAUAUGCGGACACCUAGGGCGGUCUAGGACACACUAGGGUUCUCGUGUCUCCCUCAGAGCAUCACCCACCAGGAUUUUCUCAGGGUCCCGGAACAGAGAGAGCGCGCUGGCCCAUCCAGAUCUCGGGUCUCCAGGCACCUCCCUUGGCCCCGCCUUGUAGGCGUGACAGUUGCCGAAGUCUCAAUGGGGGUUGGAACUUCCAGAUCAAAGCUGGAAUGGCUACCCACUACAAGCUUCCAUCCCCAAGACCAGAGGUUUCUACCUGGGACCACAGGACAUGUGCUACACCAAGAGAACAUCAGGAGUGGUGAGCAGUGAACUUUGAAACUCAGUUUUUCCGUCAGAAGACGUUUAGACUGGCUCUUGACCAAACUCAGCUCAUCCAAAGGUUGAGGCUGUUGGAAUUCAUCUUCCUGGGAGAAGAUAUAACCUCAGGUUUAUAGGUAUGACUCUUAGCACCAUGCUAGAAGAUGCACAGGAAUGGAACCGACAAUCUGCAAAGCUGGGGGCGGUGGUGGUGUGGGGUACAAGUGGAAGAUGCUGGCUACCCUCACCCUGGCUUCAUAUGGAAUCUGUAGGGCAGGCAGCUUUCUUAAAAAGACCUGGAGUGGCUCUGAUUCCUGUGAGAUGCUUGUUGCAGGUGAGUUCCAACUUCCGCAUGGCAGAACUGGACAAUGGGAGCGGCAGAGACAGAUCCUGUCUGACAAGCGCAGGGCCCCAACAUUUCAGCAUGUCGUUUGCCUGGUUGCUGUCCUGCACGUGUGUGGCUAGUUUGUGCUUGGAGCUACAGUAUUUCCUGUGACCUUGAGCAAAAUGAUUAUAGGUGGCAACUUCCCAAACCAGCUCUGCAUGGAGAGCAUGCAGCUCAUGUCUUGGUUUGAAUCUUUAAAAAAUUGUAAGCAAACCAGACAUGGUGGUGUAUGCCUUUAAUCUCAGCACCUGAAGGCAGAGGCAGGUGGAUCUCUUUGAGUUUAAGGUUAGCUUAGUCUACGGAGUGAGUUCUAGGGCAGUCAGAGCUGGUGAAGACCCUGUCUCAAAAAAUAAGUCAAGGCCGGGCGGUGGUGGCGCACGCCUUUAAUCCCAGCACUCGGGAGGCAGAGCCAGGCGGAUCUCUGUGAGUUCGAGGCCAGCCUGGACUACCAAGUGAGUUCCAGGAAAAGGCGCAAAGCUACACAGAGAAACCCUGUCUCGAAAAAACCAAAAAAAAAAAAAAAUAAGUCAAAACAAAUUUAAAAAAUCUUAACCACACUUAGUGUCAGAGUCGAUGGUCAUUAAAAAAAUGACAAGUUCAUCAAGAAGCACAAAGGAGAGGGAUGGAAAGAUGGCUCCGCUUUAACGAACACUUGCUGUUCUCCUGGAAGUCCUGGGUUUGAUUCCCAGCACCCACAUGGCAGCUCACGACCACCUGUAACUUCAGCUGUAGGGUAUCUGACACCUUUGAUCUGACCUGCGAGGGCAUCUGCAUUCAUGUGCACAUAUACAUACUUAAAACUGAUAAAAAAAAAUCUUAAAACACAGGGCAUAAGCAACACUUGCUAGAUAGUAUCAGGUUAGACCACAUUUUCUCACUGUAUGGGGCCCAACCACACGUCCUGGUGACCCACCACCCUGGCAAACAUCAGUCACUUAUUCUGGAGAUUGACUGAGGUUCUUAAGCUUCUGCAGCAGCAUUUAGCUACUGAGUUAUCUCUUCAGUCUUCACCAAACCUCUUUGAGGGUGUAAUUCUUUUGCUGCUGUUGUACUUCUAUUUCUCCAUUUUUUUAUACUGGUUUCAUAAGAUGGAUCUGCCGACAGAUGUGCGUCACACACGCUUCACACAUGCCUCACACAGAAAAACUACAGAAUCGGCCCAGCAGAUGCAAAGAGAUGUAUGUGUCACGUGAAUGACAGCUCCUGGUUCCAACACUGCCAGGAAAGCUUCCACACACAGCUGCUGGCGCUUUCCAGGCCUGAAAGAUGAGCUCACCUCGAUGGGCUUUCCUACCAGGCUAAGGGAUGCCUGUUGUCUUUCCACCGAGAGGCGUGUAACAAAACACACUCCAGCCUGUACAACUUUACAUUGUGUCGUGUUUAUUCCACGGAAAACCUGAAGACCGCACCCCAAAGGAGCCCGCAGGCAGGGUGGGCGCUGCCCCUGCCCCUGCCCACUAUGUACAUUCACAGUUCUGACGCGGACUGAGGUUACCAGCAAGAGUAAUCAGGAGAUUGAACAUCCGUCCCAGGUCUGCUCGGGAUUUCCUCAACAUGCCCAGUGGCAUUCCACAGGAACCCUUCACUUGCAGAUGGUGGGGCAGAGCCCCAGCCUCGGGACAUCUUAGUUCAUUAGUCUCCUUCAUUGGCCUUUUAGUGGCUUUUCUCUUCUGGAAAUUUGUACUCUAUAGUUAUAAAAACCAACCAGUUGGCUACGAA